rnacentral:rRNA from 1 species
GAUGAACGCUGGCGGCGUGCCUAAUACAUGCAAGUCGAGCGAACAGACGAGGAGCUUGCUCCUCUGACGUUAGCGGCGGACGGGUGAGUAACACGUGGAUAACCUACCUAUAAGACUGGGAUAACUUCGGGAAACCGGAUCUAAUACCGGAUAAUAUAUUGAACCGCAUGGUUCAAUAGUGAAAGACGGUUUUGCUGUCACUUAUAGAUGGAUCCGCGCCGCAUUAGCUAGUUGGUAAGGUAACGGCUUACCAAGGCUACGAUGCGUAGCCGACCUGAGAGGGUGAUCAGCCACACUGGAACUGAGACACGGUCCAGACUCCUACGGGAGGCAGCAGUAGGGAAUCUUCCGCAAUGGGCGAAAGCCUGACGGAGCAACGCCGCGUGAGUGAUGAAGGUCUUCGGAUCGUAAAACUCUGUUAUUAGGGAAGAAAAAAUGUGUAAGAAACUAUGCACGUCUUGACGGUACCUAAUCAGAAAGCAACGGCUAACUACGUG